GAAGCGUUGUCUCGAUAAGCUCCAGUCUAAUGGUUUAGCUGUUGACUACAUCGUCACCGAUCGCCAUCCGCAGAUUCAGAAGUACCUGAGGGACCGCAAUAUCACUCAGUUCUAUGACGUGUGGCACUUUGAGAAAGGUUUAUCUAAGAAACUUGACAAACUUUCAAAAAUGAAGGACUGUGAGGUGCUGAAAAAAUGGUUGCACAGCAUCAAAAACCAUGUUUACUGGAGUGCGAUUUCCUCUGAGUCUGGGACAGAAAAGGUGGCGAAGUGGAAUUCACUGCAGAACCACAUCCAAAAUGUACAUGUUCAUGAGAACCACCUCUUCCCCAAGUGUGAACACCCAGACAAAGUUUCCAGGGAUCCAAAAAAAUGGAUCCAACCAGGAUCAAUAGCGCUCCAUAAAGUGGAAAAGCUAUUAUACAACAAGAGAGUUCUCA